GAUGAACGCUGGCGGCGUGCCUAAUACAUGCAAGUCGAGCGAACAGACGAGGAGCUUGUUCCUUUGACGUUAGCGGCGGACGGGUGAGUAACACGUGGAUAACCUACCUAUAAGACUGGGAUAACUUCGUGAAACCGGUGCCAAUACCGGCUCAUACAUUGUACCGCAUGGUUCAAUAGUGAAAGACGGUUUUCCCGUCACUUAUAGAUGGUUCCGCGUCGCAUUAGCUAGUUGGUAAGGUAACGGCCUACCAAGGCGACGAUGCGUAGCCGACCUGAGAGGGUGAUCAGCCACACUGGAACUGAGACACGGUCCAGACUCCUACGGGAGGCAGCAGUAGGGAAUCUUCCGCAAUGGGCGAAAGCCUGACGGAGCAACGCCGCGUGAGUGAUGAAGGUCUUCGGAUCGUAAAACUCUUUUAUUGGGAAAGAACAGAUGUGUAUGUAAAUAUGCCCGUCUUGACGGUACCUAAUCAGAAAGCCACGGCUAACUACGUG
rnacentral:rRNA from 1 species